rnacentral:pre_miRNA from 18 species
GAUCCAAGUUUAUGCGAUUUUUGUACUACAAUUAGGUACUGGACACCAGCAGCGAGUGUAUCCAGAAUCUAUACUAGUACAAAAAUAGCUAACAGGAUUAAGAUUU